rnacentral:rRNA from 1 species
UUGAACGCUGGCGGCAUGCUUUACACAUGCAAGUCGAACGGCAGCGGGGGCUUCGGCCUGCCGGCGAGUGGCGAACGGGUGAGUAAUGCAUCGGAACGUACCCAGUCGUGGGGGAUAACUACGCGAAAUCGGUGCUAAUACCGCAUACGCCCUACGGGGGAAAGCGGGGGAUCUUCGGACCUCGCGUUAUUGGAUUGGCCUAUGUCUGAUUAGCUAGUUGGUGAGGUAAAGGCUCGCCAAGGCUUCGAUCAGUAGCUGGUCUGAGAGGAUGAUCAGCCACACUGGAACUGAGACACGGUCCAGACUCCUACGGGAGGCAGCAGUGGGGAAUUUUGGACAAUGGGCGAAAGCCUGAUCCAGCCAUUCCGCGUGAGUGAAGAAGGCCUUCGGGUUGUAAAGCUCUUUCGGCAGGAACGAAAUGGUCACGGUUAAUAACCGUGACUUCUGACGGUACCUGAAGAAGAAGCACCGGCUAACUACGU